GAUGAACGCUGGCGGCGUGCCUAAUACAUGCAAGUCGAGCGGACCAAAGAGAGCUUGCUCUCUGAGGUUAGCGGCGGACGGGUGAGUAACACGUGGGUAACCUGCCUGUAAGACGGGGAUAACUUCGGGAAACCGAAGCUAAUACCGGAUGAUAAAGAGAAACGCCUGUUUCUUUUUUGAAAGUCGGCCUUGUGCUGACGCAUACAGAUGGGCUCGCGGCGCAUUAGCUAGUUGGUGAGGUAGCGGCUCACCAAGGCGACGAUGCGUAGCCGACCUGAGAGGGUGAUCGGCCACACUGGGACUGAGACACGGCCCAGACUCCUACGGGAGGCAGCAGUAGGGAAUCUUCGGCAAUGGACGAAAGUCUGACCGAGCAACGCCGCGUGAGCGAUGAAGGCCUUCGGGUCGUAAAGCUCUGUUGUCAGAGAAGAACAAGUACCGGAGUAACUGCCGGUACCUUGACGGUACCUGACCAGAAAGCCACGGCUAACUACGUGCCAGCAGCCGCAGUAAUAC
rnacentral:rRNA from 1 species